UAAAGUACAAUUUUGCUCCUUUUUAUUAGAUCAUUAAUAAGAAAUUUUAUUACUUGUUAAACUAAACUUGUUAGAUCAUAGUUCUUCUCAAAUAAUUAGGGUGUAUUGAGCUAUGGAAAUGCAAAAAUCAGAAAAUCUUGCAUUUUCCGGGAGAAUUGAGGAUAGAAAAUACAGAGAAUAGUGAAGCUGCAAUAAUGUGCAGCAAACUUAGAUGCUAAUGCAUCAUUACAUUCAUAUAAACACAUAUGUUCUGUAGCUAAAGAUCAGACAUCUAUAGUUUUUUAGGUUUUUGUUUCAGAAUGUAAUAAAUAUAUACAUAUUUUUAAAUUAAAAUCCAUAAUAUAAGAAUAAAAAUUUGUAUUA